GCCAAGGAGGAAAGGAGGGAGCCGGCCCAACUUGGCUCUCUCUUCAAAAAAUAAACCAAACCGACUGUGGGAAAAAAAAUUAAGAGAGAAGUUAAAAGAAAAAUAUAAGAAAAAAGGGAGAAAUAUUUACAAGUCUCUAAAAUGAUGCUCCUAUUUGUAAAAAUAGAAGUGGCAUUUUAGAGCAAAGAAAAAUAAUUGAUUUUUGUUAUGAAUCAGCCCCUGUUUUUAAAUAAAUCAAAAGAAAAAUCAUUUCAAAUCAGUGAGGUUUUUCAUCCACAAAUAUUUGAAAGAAUUUUCAAAGAAGAGGAACAUUUUUAAAGCCCGAAAACAACAACAUAAUUAUGCCUCAGAGAAAUAUAGAAAGAGAGGGGUUUUUGGGCUAUGGUGCAACUUAAUGUUUGAGGUCUUUGUUGCACCCACACCACACUCCACAACACCAACAAGCCACAAGAGUGC
rnacentral:lncRNA from 1 species